rnacentral:rRNA from 1 species
ACAAUGCACCCGGUGAAAUUGAAAUACCAGUGAAGAUGCUGGUUACCUGCGCCAGGACGGAAAGACCCCAUGGAGCUUUACUCCAGCUUGAUACUGGGAUUCGAUAUUGCAUGUACAGGAUAGGUGGGAGACUAGGAAGCGGUGACGCCAGUUGCCGCAGAGUCGCUGUUGGGAUACCACCCUUGCAGUAUUGGAUUUCUAACCAGCAGCCGUGAACCGGCUGGGGGACAAUGUCAGGUGGGGAGUUUGACUGGGGCGGUCGCCUCCGAAAGGGUAUCGGAGGCGCUCAAAGGUUCCCUCAGAAUGGUUGGAAACCAUUCGAAGAGUGCAAAGGCAGAAGGGAGCUUGACUGCGACACCGACGGGUGGAGCAGGUACGAAAGUAGGACUUAGUGAUCCGGUGGUAUAAAGUGGGAUUGCCAUCGCUCAACGGAUAAAAGCUACCCUGGGGAUAACAGGCUUAUCACUCCCAAGAGUUCACAUCGACGGAGUGGUUUGGCACCUCGAUGUCGGCUCAUCGCAUCCUGGGGCUGAAGUAGGUCCCAAGGGUUGGGCUGUUCGCCCAUUAAAGCGGUACGCGAGCUGGGUUCAGAACGUCGUGAGACAGUUCGGUCCCUAUCUGUCGUGGGCGCAGGAUAUUUGAUGGGAGCUGUCCCUAGUACGAGAGGACCGGGACGGACGUACCUCUGGCGCACCAGUUGUUCCGCCAGGAGCAUAGCUGGGCAACUACGUACGGAUCGGAUAAACGCUGAAAGCAUCUAAGCGUGAAGCCGACCCAAAGAUAAGAUAUCCCACUGAUUUGAUCAGGUAAGACCCCUUGAAGACUACAAGGUCGAUAGGCACGAUGUGUAAGUGGAGCGAUCCAUUCAGCAAGCGUGUACUAAUAGGUCGAGGGCUUGACCAC